GACGAACGCUGGCGGCGUGCUUAACACAUGCAAGUCGAACGAAGUCGCGAACGGGUGAGUAACGCGUAAUCAACCUGCCCUUCAGAGGGGGACUACAGUUGGCAACGACUGCUACUACCGCAUACUGUAGGCGGUGAUUGCGUUGGAUUAGCUCGUUGGAGGGGUAACGGCCCACCACGGCGAUGAUAAGGAGCCGGUCUGAGGGGAUGAACGGCCAAAAUGGGACUGGGAAACGGGCCAGAAUCCUACGGGAGGCAGCAGUGGGGAAUCUUCCGAAAUGGAGGAAAGUCUGACGGAGCAACGCCGCGUGAGUGAUGACGGCCUUCGGGUUGGAAAGCUAUGUUAAUCGGGACGCGGUACCGGAAUAGAAAGCCACGGCUAACUACGUGCCAGCCGCCGCGGUAAUUC
rnacentral:rRNA from 1 species